rnacentral:rRNA from 1 species
AUUGAACGCUGGCGGCAGGCCUAACACAUGCAAGUCGAGCGGAUGAAGGGAGCUUGCUCCUGGAUUCAGCGGCGGACGGGUGAGUAAUGCCUGGGAAUCUGCCUGGUAGUGGGGGAUAACGUCCGGAAACGGGCGCUAAUACCGCAUACGUCCUGAGGGAGAAAGUGGGGGAUCUUCGGACCUCACGCUAUCAGAUGAGCCUAGGUCGGAUUAGCUAGUUGGUGGGGUAAAGGCCUACCAAGGCGACGAUCCGUAACUGGUCUGAGAGGAUGAUCGGUCACACUGGAACUGAGACACGGUCCAGACUCCUACGGGAGGCAGCAGUGGGGAAUAUUGGACAAUGGGCGAAAGCCUGAUCCAGCCAUGCCGCGUGUGUGAAGAAGGUCUUCGGAUUGUAAAGCACUUUAAGUUGGGAGGAAGGGCAGUAAGUUAAUACCUUUCUGUUUUGACGUUACCAACAGAAUAAGCACCGGCUAACUUCGUG